AGUGAACGCUGGCGGUAGGCCUAACACAUGCAAGUCGAACGGAAGCACAGUAAGAGCUUGCUCUUACGGGUGGCGAGUGGCGGACGGGUGAGGCAUACAUAGGAAUCUACUUUUUCGUGGGGGAUAACGUAGGGAAACUUACGCUAAUACCGCAUGCGACCUACGGGUUAAAGCAGGGGUUCUUCGGACCUUGCGCGAUUGAAUUAGCCGAUGUCGGAUUAGCUAGUUGGGGGGGUAAAGGCCCACCAAGGCGACGAUCCGUAGCUGGUCUGAGAGGAUGAUCAGCCACACUGGAACUGAGACACGGUCCAGACUCCUACGGGAGGCAGCAGUGGGGAAUAUUGGACAAUGGGCGAAAGCCUGACCCAGCAAUGCCGCGUGAGUGAAGAAGGCCUUCGGGUUGUAAAGCUCUUUUGUUGGGAAAGAAAAACAGCAGGUGAAUCCCCGGCUGUUCUGACGGUACCCAAAGAAUAAGCACCGGCUAACUUCGUG
rnacentral:rRNA from 1 species